CAUCAAAGUCUACCAGGACGACGAAAACGGUGAAAACACCCUUGAGGUUUCCAAUGAAAACAAGAUCAUGUGCCCAAUCUACCUCAACGACGCCACCUACAGGAAUCUCGUCACUGACGCGCUCCAUACCCUUAGUCUUUCUUUCAACACAUGUGGUCACAGGCGAGAUCCCAAAACGCUUCCUCUAUGUAGGUGAUAUGCGCCAUGUUGUCGGUGAGAGCCUUAAGUCUUUCACGUCAUGUUACCUCAUGACAAUGAUUCUUCACACACUUUUCAGAUUGAAGCCAUUAACAAAAGGUCUGGUCGUCAUUGGAUUGGAGGCAAUGGAGAGUGAGAAAGAAAAUUAAAAAUGAAACUCCAUCGUUGAAAAUCAUCUCCUAUAAUAAAGAACAAAUAUAAAUAUAAGGAAUUGAUGAUGCAAUGUGAAAAGACCUAUAAUAAUUAAAUUCAUCCCACUAUUAAAAAUUAUGGUACAUAAUAAUAGACCAUUGAGUGCUCCACCGUAGCCUUUGCUCUAAUAACUAAUAAGAUUGAUAUAUAUCACUAUAUUUCACAAUUCUAAACUAAAGUCAGAACUUGGAAGGGAAUUGCUUGAGAACUUGUUCAUUCUGUUUCGUCUCUUUCACUUUGCUCCUCCGUAGUCCCUUUCUAUUCUACUUACAGUCAAGACAGCAACAACCGCCACAGGUACGCGCCAUUUUCACUCUCCGAUUCGCAGAGUUUCACUUCAAAAUUAUCGGAAGCAACUGAAAUCAUAUCAAAAUCAAAUGUAUUAUUAUUAGUAAAUAGCACAACCAAAUUCACUAACAACCAUGUCAAGGCAAACUGAGACACCGUUCCUCGAAGAAUGGCUAAGCAUUAGGUGCGGCAUUAACGCCGCCGCCGCCGCCGCCACCAUCACAAAACCCACCGCGCGAGCCAUCGUUCAAGCAUGGACCGCACUCCGAGACUCUCUCCAAUCCCAGCAGCAGCAGCACCUUCAAACCCUAGUCAAUUCCCAAUCCUCCCUCCACGUGGCAGAACCCCAAGCAAAGCUCCUCCUCACCCUUCUCCAAUCUUCUCCCACCUCCUCCUUCCCUCCCCUCUUCACACUCCUCUACACGUGGCUCCGAAAAUCCCCAAACCCUAAUUCCAAUAUAAUCGAUUCCGCGGUCGAGAUUCUCUCGCACUUCCAUCCAGAUGAUACCUUUUUCCCCGAAGGUGUUCUUCUCUUGGGCGCGUUUUCCUUCGUGCCUUCCGUUUCUGAAAAGACCAAGACGCGCUGUCUGGACAUGAUGCUGAAAGUACUGUUGGCGGCGGAGAAGGGUAAAUUGCUCGGUGAACUGCCGCGUGUUCUCGCUGGAAUUGGUUACGCUCUGUCGUGUUCCGUCACUGUUUGUUGCGUGGAGAUGUUGGAUUUGUUGUUUCGAAUUUGGGGGAAGGGAGACGGGUGUGUUGCUCAUGGACUCAUGGUGCUUUACCUGUUUGAUUGGGUUGUGUCCAAUUUGAUUGGUUUCGGGUAUUCGGAUAAGAAUCGUGUUUUGGUCCAAGAAGGUUUCGGGAGUUUUAAGGAGAAGAGUCAUGCUUCGUUGUUUGUGGUUUUCAUGGCUGGGGUUGGAGUGUUGCGGGCUUUGGAGAGACGCGGUGUGAGGUCGUCAGAGCUUGUGUCUGGAAUGAGGAUAAAGGAUUGUGUGGUUGGUAGGAUCGAAGGUAUAGUUGGUGAUUUGGUUUCGAGGAGGUUGAGGUUUGGUUAUGACGAUAAAGAGAGCAAUGGUGCUGAAGAAGAUAGGAUAUUGCUUCAGUGUGUGUCGAUAGGGUUGGCCCGGACUGUUGCAUUUUCAGGGCAUUCGUCUUUGUUUGUCUGUCUUGGUUUGGCGUUGUUGACUGAGAUAUUUCCGUUGCCACGUUUGUAUCGAUCGGUGUUUGAGAGUUCAUGUGAUUCGGGUGGAGUGGAACUUAGGGAGAUCAGGGAACAUCUGGAUGGUGUACUGUUCAAGGAAGCAGGAGGUGUGACAGGGGUGUUGUGCAGUCAAUAUGUUUUGGCUGAUGAGGAAAGUAAGAAUGUGGUGGAGAAUCUUAUGUGGGAAUAUUGUCGGGAUGUCUACUUUGGACAUAGGCGAGUGGCUGUGAUGCUUAAGGGCAAGAAGGAUGAGUUGCUUGAGGGUUUGGAAAAACUUGCAGAAUCUGCUUUCCUCAUGGUUGUGGUAUUUGCGUUGGCUGUGACAAAACACAAGUUGAACUCCAAUUUUGCUCAAGAAAUACAGAUGGACGUCUUGUUGAAGAUACUAGUUUCGUUUUCUUGCGUGGAGUAUUUUCGCCAUGUUCGCUUGCCAGAGUAUAUGGAGACCAUUCGCAAGGUGGUUGCGGGUAUUAAGAACGAGGAUGCUUGUACUUCUUUUGUGAACUCCAUGCCCUCUUAUGCCGACUUGACAAGCAGCCCAGACCAGAAAACCAAUUACUUAUGGUCGAAGGAUGAAGUGCAAACGGCUCGCAUUUUGUUUUACCUACGAGUGAUUCCAACUUCCAUUGAAUGUUUGCCCAGCCUUGUGUUCAGAAACAUGGUAGCUCCAACUAUGUUCUUAUAUAUGGAACACCCUAAUGGAAAAGUAGCCCGAGCCUCUCAUUCUGUGUUCAUGGCAUUUAUGACUAUGGGGAAGGAUUCUGAAAAGAACGAUGAAGUUUCAUUGAAGGAGCAACUUGUUUUCCAUUACAUGCAAAGAUCCUUAUUGGGAUAUCCUGGCAUUACUCCUUUUGAGGGUAUGGCUUCUGGGGUUGUAGGAAUGGUCCAACAUCUUCCUGCUGGAAGCCCUGCCAUUUUUUAUUGCGUUCACAGUCUUGUUGAAAAAGCCAACCAGCUCUGUUCUGAAGUUUUCACUAAUGAGGCUGAUGCGUGGAAGAAGUGGCAAGGAGAGCCAGAACCAAGCAAGAAAUUAUUGGACUUGCUUUUACGCUUAGUUUUCCUCAUUGAUAUACAAGUCUUGCCCGACUUGAUGAAACUGUUGGCACAGCUGAUAACUAAAUUACCACGAGAUGCACAAAACAUUGUUUUAAAUGAGUUAUAUUCACAAGUGGCUGAUUCUGAUGAUGUUGUCCGCAAACCCACACUGGUUUCAUGGCUGCAGUCAUUAUCUUACCUUUGCACAAAAGCUACAAAUCAAAAUGCAGCCAACCGAAAAAGUGAAAGUGAAGAUAAUCCAACUUUGUCUAGUAUUGCAGACCCAUAUAACAGUGGAAGAGCAACUGCACGGCUCUAAGAGAUUCAGAUUGUUCUAAAAUUUCAAAAUUAUCUUAAGCAGUUUUGACAAAAGGGUUUAUCAGCCUCCAGCCCUCCACAGCUGUAUGUCCUCAACUUCCAUAGCUUCCCAACCAUGACUUCUAUUCAACUUUUGCUGAACCUGCUGGCAAUGAUUAAUCUUGCUUACCAGAGUUCCUGAUUUGGAUGUCUAGCAAUUAAGAAGGUUGUGUAUGCUACUACUACAAAGGAACCUGCACUAUAUGAAGUUCAGGUUUCCUUAACCAAACUAUGGAGCAGAAAAUGAGAGCUGAUUACUCCCUGAAGUAGCUCCUGUGAAGCCUGAUUGAUUACUCCCAAAAGUGAAGCAGAAAGUAAACGCUGGUCCAAAUGCCUGAUUCUUUUAAAAGCCAAUAAAUAUCACAACCAUAUCUCUCGUGUUAAGGGAUAAAGGAAUAAAGUCCUCCAAGAUUCUCCUUAAUUUCUAAAUUAAAGGAUUAAAACAAGAAAUUACUCGCGAGUAUUACUUAAUAAUAUACCUUAACCUCGCAAAAUAUCAAACUUAUCUUACAACAUUUCUUUUCACAUCUAUCAAAGAACAUAAUUGAUGUAUAAAAUAUUUAGAAGAUCAUUAUAGUGUUGCGGGUAUGUUUAAGUGUGAAGUAUCUUUUCAAUAAAAACAAUUAUUCUUUAUAA